UUUAUUAGAUAAAAAGCCAGUUCAUGCUUUUACAGUAUGAAAAUUGGUGAUUUAUAAUAACUUAGCAAAUCGCAAAGUGAAAACAGGCGAUAAAUCAUUCAAGUUUCUGACCUAUCAGCUUUCGACGGUAUGGUAUUGGCUUACCGUGGCAGUGACGGUUAACGGGGGAUUAGGGUUCGAUUCCGGAGAGGGAGCCUGAGAAACGGCUACCACAUCUAAGGAAGGCAGCAGGCGCGCAAAUUACCCAAUUCUAACAGUUUGAGAGAGGUAGUAACAAGAAAUAACAAUACAAGGCAGUUAAAAUGCUUUGUAAUUGGAAUGAUAGAAAUUUAAACCCUUUUUAAAGUAUCAAUUGGAGGGCAAGUCUGGUGCCAGCAGCCGCGGUAAUUCCAGCUCCAAUAGCGUAUAUUAAAAUUGUUGCAGUUAAAAAGCUCGUAGUUGAAGUUCUGCUGAAAGUAACCGGUCUGCUUUUAAUAAAAGUGGUAUCUUGGUGUGUAUUUAGCAAUGAUGUCCUUUGAAGUGUUUUUUACUUUAUUGUAAUAAAGCAUAUUCAGGACUUUUACUUUGAGAAAAUUAGAGUGUUUCUAGCAGGCUGACGCUUUGAAUACUGCAGCAUGGAAUAAUAAGAUAG
rnacentral:rRNA from 1 species